rnacentral:tRNA from 1 species
UCUCUGGUGGUCCAGUUGUUAGGACUUGGUGCUUUGAUUACUGGGACCUGGGUUCAAUCCCUGGUCUGGGAA